GUGGGAUACGGAGACGUGAACCCGGCUACCAUCCUCGGCAAGACGUUUGGCAUGAUCGUGGUGGUGGUGGGCGUGCUGGUGAUCGCGCUGCCGGUGACGGUCAUCGGGAGCAAC
rfam:Micromonas sp. RCC299 chromosome 12, complete sequence.